rnacentral:rRNA from 1 species
AUUGAACGCUGGCGGCAGGCCUAACACAUGCAAGUCGAGCGAGCGGCGGUCGGGUGAGUCAUGUAUAGGGACUGCCCGAUAGAGGGGGAUAACUACUGGAAACGGUAGCUAAUACCGCAUACUAUCGGAUAACCCAUAUAGGAGUAGCUAGUAGGUGAGGUAAUGGCUCACCUGGGAGACGAUCCCUAGCUGGUUUGAGAGGACGACCAGCCAAACGGGGACUGAGACACGGCCCAGACUCCUACGGAGGCAGCAGUGGGGAAUUUUGGACAAUGGGGGAAACCCUGAUCCAGCCAUCCCGCGUGUAUGAUGAAGGCCUUCGGGUUGUAAAGCACUUUUGGCAGAGAAGCGGUAUCUGCAGAAUAAGCACCGGCUAACUACGUGCCAGCCGCCGCGGUAAUAC